GACGAACGCUGGCGGCGCGCUUAACACAUGCAAGUCGAGCGAAGCGGCGGACGGGUGAGUAACACGUGAGUAACCUGCCUUAGACAUUGGGAUAGCCUCGGGAAACCGGGAUUAAUACCAAAUGGUCUAAGAUGGACUCGCGUCCCAUUAGCGAGCUGGUGAGGUAACGGCCAACCAAGGCGGUGACGGGUAGCCGGCCUGAGGGGGUGACCGGCCACAUUGGGACUGGGAUACGGCCAAGACGCUACGGGAGGCAGGAGUGGGGGAUAUUGCACAAUGGGCGAAAGCCGGAUGAAGCGACGCAGAGUGGGGGAUGAAGGCUUUCGGGUUGUAGACCUGUUGCGCUAUCGAACGGGUAGGUGGAGAAGAAGCGCCGGCUAACUACGUGCCAGCAGCCGCGGUAAUAC
rnacentral:rRNA from 1 species